GAUGAACGCUGGCGGCGUGCCUAACACAUGCAAGUCGAACGGAGAUUACGGACGGAAGUUUUCGGAUGGAAGACUGUAAUUCUUAGUGGCGGACGGGUGAGUAACGCGUGGGCAACCUGCCCUAUACAGGGGGAUAGCAGCUGGAAACGGCUGGUAAGACCGCAUAAGUCGGCGAGACCGCAUGGUUUUGCCGGGAAAUGAGCAAUCAGGUAUAGGAUGGGCCCGCGUCCGAUUAGCCAGUUGGCAGGGUAAAAGCCUACCAAAGCAACGAUCGGUAGCCGGGCUGAGAGGUCGGACGGCCACAUUGGGACUGAGACACGGCCCAAACUCCUACGGGAGGCAGCAGUGGGGGAUAUUGCACAAUGGAGGAAGCUCUGAUGCAGCGACGCCGCGUGAGUGAGGAAGUAUUUCGGUAUGUAAAGCUCUAUCAGCAGGGAAGAUGAUGACGGUACCUGACGAAGAAGCCCCGGCUAACUACGUG
rnacentral:rRNA from 1 species